rnacentral:rRNA from 1 species
UACGAAGGGGGCUAGCGUUGUUCGGAAUUACUGGGCGUAAAGCGCGCGCAGGCGGCUAUCCAAGUCAGUGGUGAAAGCCCGGAGCUCAACUCCGGAACUGCCAUUGAAACUGUUUAGCUUGAGGACGAGAGAGGUGAGUGGAAUUCCUAGUGUAGAGGUGAAAUUCGUAGAUAUUAGGAAGAACCCCAGUGGCGAAGGCGGCUCACUGGUCCGGUACUGACGCUGAGGUGCGAAAGCGUGGGGAGCAAACAGG